CUUCGGUUAAAACCGGUCCGAUCCAUGCAAACGUCUCAGAUGGGCAUCAGAGUGAGAUGGAGUGAUGCUGUGUUGUUUUAUUGAGAAGCUGACCCAACCCACAAAUAAACACGCACAUCACAGUCUUGAUCUUAAAUCCAGGUUUUGAGCAUGCAAUUUAAUUCUUAGAUAUAAUCAGACGAGUGUUCCCUGGAAAUGCAUAAAAAAUAGAUGCAGUUGGAAAAUGCAUACAUUUGCUAAAUGCACAUAAGUGCAAUUAAAACAUUAGUAAAAGUAUUUAUG